CCUACGGGAGGCAGCAGUAAGGAAUAUUGGUCAAUGGAGGCAACUCUGAACCAGCCAUGCCGCGUGCAGGAUGACGGCCCUAUGGGUUGUAAACUGCUUUUAUACAAGAGAAAACCCUGGUACGUGUACCAGGUUGAUAGUAUUGUAAGAAUAAGCAUCGGCUAACUUCGUGCCAGCAGCCGCGGUAAGACGAAGGAUGCAAGCGUUAUCCGGAUUCAUUGGGUUUAAAGGGUGCGUAGGCGGACUGAUAAGUCAGUGGUGAAAUCUCUUUGCUUAACAAAGAAACUGCCAUUGAUACUGUCGGUCUAGAGUAUAGAUGACGUUGGCGGAAUAUGACAUGUAGUGGUGAAAUACUUAGAUAUGUCAUAGAACACCGAUCGCGAAGGCAGCUAACGAAACUAUAACUGACGCUGAGGCACGAAAGUGCGGGGAUCAAACAGGAUUAGAUACCCUGGUAGUCCGCACCGUAAACGAUGAUUACUCGUUGUUGGCGAUAUGACAGUCAGCGACCAAGCGAAAGCGAUAAGAAUCCACCUGGGGAGUACGCCGGCAACGGUGAAACUUAAAGGAAUUGACGGNNGAGAGNGCGAGGAGACAGAGGGAGAGG
rnacentral:rRNA from 1 species